GUGCCAGCAGCCGCGGUAACACGUAGGCACCAAGCGUUAUCCGGAUUUAUUGGGCGUAAAGAGCUCGUAGGCGGUUCGGUAAGUCGGGUGUGAAAAUCCAAGGCUCAACCUUGGGACGCCACCCGAUACUGCUGUGACUAGAGUGCAGUAGGGGAGCAGGGAAUUCCUGGUGUAGCGGUGAAAUGCGCAGAUAUCAGGAGGAACACCAGUGGCGAAGGCGCUGCUCUGGGCUGUAACUGACGCUGAGGAGCGAAAGCGUGGGUAGCAAACAGGAUUAGAUACCCUGGUAGUCCACGCCAUAAACGUUGGGCACUAGGUGUGGGUCUCAACCAACGAGAUCCGCGCCGUCGCUAACGCAUUAAGUGCCCCGCCUGGGGAGUACGGUCGCAAGACUAAAACUCAAAUAAAUUGACGG
rnacentral:rRNA from 1 species